CCUACGGGGGGCAGCAGUGGGGAAUAUUGGACAAUGGGGGCAACCCUGAUCCAGCCAUGCCGCGUGUGUGAAGAAGGCCCUCGGGUUGUAAAGCACUUUCAGUGAGGAAGAACGCCUGGUGGUUAAUACCCAUCAGGAAAGACAUCACUCACAGAAGAAGCACCGGCUAACUCCGUGCCAGCAGCCGCGGUAAUACGGAGGGUGCGAGCGUUAAUCGGAAUUACUGGGCGUAAAGCGCGCGUAGGUGGCUUGAUAAGCCGGUUGUGAAAGCCCCGGGCUCAACCUGGGAACGGCAUCCGGAACUGUCAAGCUAGAGUGCAGGAGGGGAAGGUAGAAUUCCCGGUGUAGCGGUGAAAUGCGUAGAGAUCGGGAGGAAUACCAGUGGCGAAGGCGGCCUUCUGGACUGACACUGACACUGAGGUGCGAAAGCGUGGGUAGCAAACAGGAUUAGAUACCCUGGUAGUC
rnacentral:rRNA from 1 species